rnacentral:rRNA from 1 species
UACAGAGGUCUCGAGCGUUAGGCGGAAUCACUGGGCUUAAAGCGUGUGUAGGCGGGCCCGUAAGUGUCUUGUGAAAUCCCACGGCUCAACCGUGGAACUGCUGGGCAUACUGCGGGUCUUGGGCCAACUAGGGGCAGCCGGAACAAGCGGUGGAGCGGUGAAAUGCGUAGAUAUCGCUUGGAACGCCGAAGGUGAAAACAAGCUGCUGGGGUUGCGCCGACGCUGAGACACGAAAGCCAGGGGAGCAAACGGG